AGCUAUCGGAUACUGGGCGUAAGCGUGCGCAGGCGGUUGUGCAAGACCGAUGUGAAAUCCCCGGGCUUAACCUGGGAAUUGCAUUGGUGACUGCACGGCUAGAGUGUGUCAGAGGGGGGUAGAAUUCCACGUGUAGCAGUGAAAUGCGUAGAGAUGUGGAGGAAUACCGAUGGCGAAGGCAGCCCCCUGGGAUAACACUGACGCUCAUGCACGAAAGCGUGGGGAGCAAACAGGAUUAGAUACCCUGGUAGUCCACGCCCUAAACGAUGUCAACUAGUUGUUGGGGAUUCAUUUCCUUAGUAACGUAGCUAACGCGUGAAGUUGACCGCCUGGGGAGUACGGUCGCAAGAUUAAAACUCAGGAAUUGACGGAA
rnacentral:rRNA from 1 species